AGAUUCAUUGGAGUCUUUAGCACAAGGAUAUUUCGGAUUAAUCUUGGAUAUUUUGGAUUUAAAAAACAAAAAAAAAAGAUGACCAUUUACGGGCCGUCACGUAGUCAAUGGGACUCGUGAACAGUGUAAGGAUCAAUCCUUACCAAAGGAUUUUAAAGAUUCUUUUUUGCACAAACUCUAAGAAAAUGGGCUCCACACUCUCUAAGGAUUCCCUUAAGAGCUCCCAUUGUGGAUGCCCUUAGCAUAUAUAUACUUGAACAAACUUACUAAUGAAAAAAAAAAUUAGGACCCUCUAACACUUUGCGUCCGCCCCUGCUCACAGGCACAUCUUUAUGUUACUUUUUAAUGGCUUAUUAACUUGAGAAGACACAAUUUUACGAAAUUUGUUCAGUAGCCUCCCCUUCUGGUCUUAUAAACUCAAACAGACACAAUACAUAGACAUAGAUAUCAUAGCUGAAUGCUUUCAAAGAGUAAACCUUUUUAAAGUCUAUAUGAAAAAUAGUCUAGUUAUAUUUCACGCCUUAUCCGGUUCAAUCAAGUAGAAUACUAAACCAGUACGUGAUUGAGUUCUGGUUUAUCCGGUUCAAUCAAGGCUGAGUAUAAAGCCGUAAGUGAUUAGACCAACUCCAUCGGGAGUCGUAAAUGCUGUUUCUAAAAAAAUAAAGGCAAAGAAAUAAAUGAAAAAGAAAUAGAAAGUAUAGGACCAGUCUUAAUUUUGGGAUUUUUAGGAUUGUUAAGGAUUCAUACGUGGAGGCUUUCUAUUGGACCGCAUGAAUGUCUCUUUCUCUUCUUUUCUUUUCUCUUUUUCCUCUUUCUUCGAUCUCUCCGUCUUCUACGGCGAUUCUUGGGCGAUCUCGCCAACGAUCGUCUUCUUCUUCUUUGAUCGGUUAUCUUGUUCUUCGAUCGGUCAUCUUCUUCUUCUCACUUUGCAAGGAUGAAAGCUCUCUUCGUCCUCUUGUUGCCCGUGUAGACAGAUCUUCACCGCACGAUCAUCUUCUUCUUCUUCUCACUGUUGAGGCUUGAAACGUUGGAUUCGGUCAUCUUCGUCUUCUCACCGUUGAAUCCGAAACCGUUGGACUCGAUCAUGCAUUUGGAUAGAUCCGGAACCAAAUCUCCGGAGGAACUCACUUCGAUCGGGAUCGAGCUUGAAGAGGAAGCUCAAGAUGAUGAUAGAGGCUAUGGAGUUUCUAGAGUUAGCCGUGUCAACAGAGUAGGAAGAUGGGAUCAGCCGAUUACAUUCUUAGAUAUUCAUGAAUGUGAUACCUUUACAAGGUGUGUUUUCUGCUUCCCAACAUCCUCAGUGAUUCCAUUGCAUGACCAUCCAGAGAUGACUGUCUUUAGCAAAAUCCUCUGUGGAUCACUUCAUGUUAAAGCUUACGAUUGGGUCGAACCUCCAUCACACAUGACAAAUCACAACGUUAUCGAUUUUUAUUUUCUUCUCAUCUGGGUGUCUAGUUUUGGUUUAUUUGUGUGAUUGAUAAUAUAAAGAUUUCUUUGCAACUGCUUGUAGCAGCACGGUUGGCGAAAUUGGUUACCGACAAAGUGAUAACACCACAAUCUGAACUACCAGUGUUGUACCCAAAGACUGGAGGCAAUCUCCAUUGUUUCACUGCGCUGACUCCAUGUGCGGUGCUCGACAUUCUCACACCUCCUUACAACGAGAGCGGGGGCAGGUCUUGCAGUUACUACAUGGACUAUCCUUUCUCCACCUUCGGUAUGCAAACUUUCUCCAUCUUCAGAACAGAAGAACAUUAAGUUUACUAUGUUUUUUCUUUGGCCGAUGGUUACUUCUCUUUGGUUUGAUGUUUACUUAUCUAUGCGACUGGUAAUAAUUUGUUCUUGUCCAAAUGAAUCAUUUAGUUUUUUUUCUUCUCUUAAUUUAAUCUUCUAAUGCCUUAUGAUGUAUCAUUUGUAGGCGUCACUUUGUAAUUCCAUUGUGGAGAGGAAAUGGCUACAUCAUGAUGUUUGCUCAAGGUUUGUUAAUAUGCUCUGAUCUUUGUCUCUAAAUUUCAAACUACUGAUGAACUGAUUGGUUAUUGAUAUUAGCUUUGGUCGAGAAGGUUAAUAAUAUUAGCAAUUGAAACGGAAAGUAGUUGUGUUCGAGUUUAGUGAUAGUUGCUUUGGUCAAAUCAGCUUUUAAUUUUACUUUGGUGUUGGUUUUGCAAGGAUGUGUGGUGUGCGUGGGUGAAAGCAAGGCGUUGGCUUUUGCAUUGAUUACGGACCAGAGUCUCUCUCAGAAACAGGUGCAACAUCAACUAAGCAUUCAUUACCGAACACAAUCUUCCAUUGCACAGUUGGCAAGAGGUAAGUACACUUUAGUAUUGCUUUAGUUAGUUGAAAGUGUGUUAGAUUUUGAUUUGUUUAUGAAUUAAAUUGAUUGUAGUAUUGCUUUAGUUAGAUAUUGAUUUGUUUAGGAACUGGAUAUGACUAUGUAUUUAUUUUCGUGGUUGUUUUACUCUGGGUUAGUUGUGUUGAAGUGAUGUGUAUUUAGUUUUAGUGGUUGUUUUAGUUGUACGUAAAUACAUUAAUUACAACAAAACUUCCCUUUAAAUAGUCAACAAAACAUACACUCAACAAACAUACACUUCACUCUUGUUCUUUCAAAACCUCUAAAUUAUGGAUCCAUAUACUCAGCAUUAUAGCUUUCAAAAUAUCUUAAAUAGCCAACAACCAUACACUCAACAACCAUACACUUCUACUUUAAACAUACACUUCACUCUUGUUCUUUCGUGAACCUUGUAUAGACACAGUCUCUGCGUCGGAUGCCUCUGUCUUCGGUCCACAAUGGACUGAAGAUGUCACUGAAGAUGCAGAGACUGUGUCUGACCGUAAAGAGAGACGCAAAUA